GAGUUUGAUCCUGGCUCAGAUUGAACGCUGGCGGCAUGCCUUACACAUGCAAGUCGAACGGCAGCACGGGAGCAAUCCUGGUGGCGAGUGGCGAACGGGUGAGUAAUAUAUCGGAACGUGCCCAGUCGUGGGGGAUAACGUAGAGAAAUUUACGCUAAUACCGCAUACGAUCUACGGAUGAAAGCGGGGGACUCGCAAGGGCCUCGCGCGACUGGAGCGGCUGAUAUCAGAUUAGGUUGUUGGUGAGGUAAAAGCUCACCAAGCCGACGAUCUGUAGCUGGUUUGAGAGAACGACCAGCCACACUGGGACUGAGACACGGCCCAGACUCCUACGGGAGGCAGCAGUGGGGAAUUUUGGACAAUGGGCGCAAGCCUGAUCCAGCAAUGCCGCGUGCAGGAAGAAGG
rnacentral:rRNA from 1 species